rnacentral:rRNA from 1 species
AACGAACGCUGGCGGCAUGCCUAACACAUGCAAGUCGAACGAGACCUUCGGGUCUAGUGGCGCACGGGUGCGUAACGCGUGGGAACCUGCCCUUAGGUUCGGAAUAACUCCCCGAAAGGGGUGCUAAUACCGGGUAAUGUCCUCGGACCAAAGAUUUAUCGCCUUUGGAUGGGCCCGCGUUGGAUUAGCUAGUUGGUAGGGUAAAAGCCUACCAAGGCGACGAUCCAUAGCUGGUCUGAGAGGAUGAUCAGCCACACUGGGACUGAGACACGGCCCAGACUCCUGCGGGAGGCAGCAGUGGGGAAUAUUGGACAAUGGGCGAAAGCCUGAUCCAGCAAUGCCGCGUGAGUGAUGAAGGCCUUAGGGUUGUAAAGCUCUUUUACCCGGGAUGAUAAUGACAGUACCGGGAGAAUAAGCUCCGGCUAACUCCGUG